UGAAGCCCAGCUUGCUGGGUGGAUCAGUGGCGAACGGGUGAGUAACACGUGAGCAAUCUGCCCCUGACUCUGGGAUAAGCGCUGGAAACGGCGUCUAAUACUGGAUAUGAACCGUGGAGGCAUCUUCAACGGUUGGAAAGAUUUUUUGGUCAGGGAUGAGCUCGCGGCCUAUCAGCUUGUUGGUGAGGUAAUGGCUCACCAAGGCGUCGACGGGUAGCCGGCCUGAGAGGGUGACCGGCCACACUGGGACUGAGACACGGCCCAGACUCCUACGGGAGGCAGCAGUGGGGAAUAUUGCACAAUGGGCGCAAGCCUGAUGCAGCAACGCCGCGUGAGGGAUGACGGCCUUCGGGUUGUAAACCUCUUUUAGCAGGGAAGAAGCGAAAGUGACGGUACCUGCAGAAAAAGCGCCGGCUAACUACGUGCCAGCAGCCGCGGUAAUACGUAGGGCGCAAGCGUUAUCCGGAAUGGAAAUAUUGGGCGUAAAGAGCUCGUAGGCGGUUUGUCGCGUCUGCUGUGAAAUCCCGAGGCUCAACCUCGGGUCUGCAGUGGGUACGGGCAGACUAGAGUGCGGUAGGGGAGAUUGGAAUUCCUGGUGUAGCGGUGGAAUGCGCAGAUAUCAGGAGGAACACCGAUGGCGAAGGCAGAUCUCUGGGCCGUAACUGACGCUGAGGAGCGAAAGGGUGGGGAGCAAACAGGCUUAGAUACCCUGGUAGUCCACCCCGUAAACGUUGGGAACUAGUUGUGGGGUCCAUUCCACGGAUUCCGUGACGCAGCUAACGCAUUAAGUUCCCCGCCUGGGGAGUACGGCCGCAAGGCUAAAACUCAAAGGAAUUGACGGGGACCCGCACAAGCGGCGGAGCAUGCGGAUUAAUUCGAUGCAACGCGAAGAACCUUACCAAGGCUUGACAUAUACGAGAACGCUGCAGAAAUGUAGAACUCUUUGGACACUCGUAAACAGGUGGUGCAUGGUUGUCGUCAGCUCGUGUCGUGAGAUGUUGGGUUAAGUCCCGCAACGAGCGCAACCCUCGUUCUAUGUUGCCAGCACGUAAUGGUGGGAACUCAUGGGAUACUGCCGGGGUCAACUCGGAGGAAGGUGGGGAUGACGUCAAAUCAUCAUGCCCCUUAUGUCUUGGGCUUCACGCAUGCUACAAUGGCCGGUACAAAGGGCUGCAAUACCGUAAGGUGGAGCGAAUCCCAAAAAGCCGGUCCCAGUUCGGAUUGAGGUCUGCAACUCGACCUCAUGAAGUCGGAGUCGCUAGUAAUCGCAGAUCAGCAACGCUGCGGUGAAUACGUUCCCGGGUCUUGUACACACCGCCCGUCAAGUCAUGAAAGUCGGUAACACCUGAAGCCGGUGGCCCA
rnacentral:rRNA from 1 species